CCGUAACUAUAACGGUCCUAAGGUAGCGAAAUUCCUUGUCGGGUAAGUUCCGACCUGCACGAAUGGCGUAAUGAUGGCCAGGCUGUCUCCACCCGAGACUCAGUGAAAUUGAACUCGCUGUGAAGAUGCAGUGUACCCGCGGCAAGACGGAAAGACCCCGUGAACCUUUACUAUAGCUUGACACUGAACAUUGAGCCUUGAUGUGUAGGAUAGGUGGGAGGCUUUGAAGUGUGGACGCCAGUCUGCAUGGAGCCGACCUUGAAAUACCACCCUUUAAUGUUUGAUGUUCUAACGUGGACCCGUGAACCGGGUUGCGGACAGUGUCUGGUGGGUAGUUUGACUGGGGCGGUCUCCUCCUAAAGAGUAACGGAGGAGCACGAAGGUUGGCUAAUCCUGGUCGGACAUCAGGAGGUUAGUGCAAUGGCAUAAGCCAGCUUGACUGCGAGCGUGACGGCGCGAGCAGGUGCGAAAGCAGGUCAUAGUGAUCCGGUGGUUCUGAAUGGAAGGGCCAUCGCUCAACGGAUAAAAGGUACUCCGGGGAUAACAGGCUGAUACCGCCCAAGAGUUCAUAUCGACGGCGGUGUUUGGCACCUCGAUGUCGGCUCAUCACAUCCUGGGGCUGAAGUAGGUCCCAAGGGUAUGGCUGUUCGCCAUUUAAAGUGGUACGCGAGCUGGGUUUAGAACGUCGUGAGACAGUUCGGUCCCUAUCUGCCGUGGGCGCUGGAGAAUUGAGGGGGGCUGCUCCUAGUACGAGAGGACCGGAGUGGACGCAUCACUGGUGUUCGGGUUGUCAUGCCAAUGGCACUGCCCGGUAGCUAAAUGCGGAAGAGAUAAGUGCUGAAAGCAUCUAAGCACGAAACUUGCCCCGAGAUGAGUUCUCCCUGAGACUUUAAGUCUCCUGAAGGAACGUUGAAGACGACGACGUUGAUAGGCCGGGUGUGUAAGCGCAGCGAUGCGUUGAGCUAACCGGUACUAAUGAACCGUGAGGCUUAACCUU
rnacentral:rRNA from 1 species